AUUCAGUGAGAAUCUGCAGUCCAAGUCUAAGUACUUAGGCAUUUGGAGGAUAAGCUCUGAUUUCAUAUCUUACUGAUCUAAAAGAAUGAAAUAAAACAUGUUAAUGAAAUUCAUAGAUAAUGAAUGUUGACAGGAGUUGUAAAGAUAUUUAGCAAGAAGUUAUCCAAAGACUGGAAGAACGAAUUUGUGAGAAAAUAUGUAAAUGCAAAUUUAGUAAAGAAGAAUUAUUUACAAGCUGCUGGAAUAAUAGAGAAAAAGGCCCACGAUUGUUAAAAAUUGAAUACCUUUAGGUCAAUGUAUGUGACAGAACUGUGGAAAAAAUUCGAAAUUCAUAUUUGAGAGCUUGUCAUUGAUUUCCAGUGUGAGGUUUGGUGUUGUAUAUAUAUGUAUAUGUAAAUGUUUGGCAAUAGUCAGCAUUACAAGAAUAAAUGCCUCCUGGGAGUUCUGAAAUUACCUGAUAAAAACUAAGCAACCACUGCUGUAAGUUAUAAUAAGUUUUAUAUAGUUUUAUACCACAAAAUCAAUCUGCCACUUAAAGAUUACUUUCUACUUGUUGCUUGAAAACAUGUGAGUGUUCCUGCAUCAGUUUGGAUCACACAAAAAAGCAAUACAUAAAAUCUACAAAGUAUUCUUAAUUUUAAAAGAGAAAAUGUGAAUAAUUAUGUAGAAUAUCUAGUGAAGCAUAGUGAACUAAACAGUUCCAGAAUUUAAAAAUCAAGAAGACUUAGACUUUUCAUAAGCAGAAAUGCAAAGGAUACCUGAGCUAAGGGAAAACAUUUCAUAAGUAAUAGUUCAAUAUCAGUAUCAUUCAGGACAGAUGAGGAAAUGUUAAAUGUGGUUAUUAUGUCCAAAAUUAUUAAUGACAAUUUUCUUAAAUCUUUCAAUUAAGGCAAUGGUAUAUAAUAAGAAGAGAGAAAAUGGUGAAAAUGAAGACAUGGGAAUGUAUGCUCUACAGCAUAAAAAAAAAAGCUUUAAAAAUUCUAUGUUAUCAAGAUGAGGGAGUUUAGACAGACCUCAUUCCAGAAUUUUGAAAAUGACAUAUUUGAAACCACGGGUCUGUUAGAUUAACGUAACUCUUAUCAACCUAUCCCAGUUGAUAGCCUGUACUCAGGGAACAUGGUAAGUCCUGCAUUUAUAAUUUAAAGGAAGACAUAAGUAAUUAGGGACUGUAGGUUCAUCUGGCUUUAAUAUCAUGCAAAGUUUUAGAAAAAAAAUUCUGCUGAAAUUAUAAUUAAAUGUAUGAACAGAAUUAGAAAUAGGACAAAACAUGUUUUUAACUGCAAUUUUUCUUUGAAAAAUGAUUUUCUAGUCAAAUGACAUGGAAUAGAGCUCAUCUAUUUGGACUUUAGUUAAAUAUUUGAUACAGUGCCAAAGAGUAAAUUAAAAAUAGGAUUAGUACAGGAAUUUUAAUGUGCUGUGAGGAAAUGACUAAAGAGUAGAAAACCAUAUUGAAAUAGUUAAGAUGCACUGUAGUGGAAUUGGGUUAUUGCUGGCUUCUUUUAGAGUUGGUUUGUAAGAGUUCUUAUUUAAUAAUUUCCUUAAUGACCUUAGUCCAAAAGGCAGGAGAACAUCAUUGAAAUUUCCAAUGGCACAUAUUUACAAGGAUUUUCUCAGUCUAAGAUCCCUUCCAAUCCAAAUCAUUAUGUAAUAAUUGAAGGAAAAGCUGACAAAGGAAAUGGAAAGGUCUGAAAAAAAAUUAAACAGUAAUGGGAAAAUGGAACUAAAUUCGGUGGAUUGUGCAGUGUAGAAUGUCAGUGGACUGCCAUAGAUUUAGGGUCUGAUAAGGAUUUGCGCAGUAAUCUGGUAGAUCCAGUAGGUAUGGAGGAAAAAGAGGUGUGUGAAGUAUGUGACUGAAUCAUCAAAACCAUACAGGCAUGAGGAAAGCCUGUAAGAAAAUCUUAAAGCCUUUCCUGAAAAGUAUUGUAAAACUGAGGUUACUAAGACAAAGAAAAGAAUAUUUCACAGUAUAACUGCUGAAUGAAAGAAUCAAGUAGGGGAAUAACAUAAUCUAGUAGAAGAUACCAACAAGUGGGGGGGGAAAAAAACAUGAAAGCUAAGAACAGAUAUGAUUUUCUCCUUUAAAUCUACCAAAAGGAUAUGUAUAGGAAAAGAGAAAACUGCAAAACUAGAAAGUUAUUCUGCCACCAGAAUUAAUUGGAUAUACACUAAGCAUUAAUUAUUUUAAGCUAAAAGUUAUAAGAUUUCUAACCAG
rnacentral:lncRNA from 1 species